ensembl:lncRNA novel transcript
AGGUGUUGGAAGGGAGAGCUGAACCUGAGCCUCCCCAGGCCCAGCAGGGGUCCACGUUGUCCCGGCUCACCCGAAAGAAGAAAAAGAAAGCCAGAAGGGAUCAGACCCCAAAGGCGGUUCCGCAGCACUUGGACGCCAGCCCCGGUGCCGAGGGGCCUGAGAUCCCCCGUGCCAUGGAGGUGGAGGUGGAGGAGCUGCUGCCGCUGCCAGAGAAUGUCCUGGCGCCCUGUGAAGAUUUCCUGCUUUUCGGUGUGCUCUUCGAGGCCACCAUGAUCGACCCCACCGUGGCCUCCCAGCCCAUCAGCUUCGAGAUCUCCAUUGGUGUGUGGCCUAGCCGAACCCCUGAGUGCCAUUUCAGACCUUAGAACCCUGGAAGGGGUGUUGACUUUCAGUAAGGGGCAGGUUCUGACUUCUGUUGAGGCAGAGGUGGUUGAGGGGGGGUUCCAGCCCUCAGCCUGGCGCCCACUGACCCUUGCUGCUCUGGGGCAGGUCGCGCAGGCCGUCUGGAGGAGCAAUUGGGCCGAGGGUCCAGGGCUGGGGAGGGAACUGAGGGUGCAGCCGUGGAGGCUCAGCCUCUGCUGGGAGCCAGGCCAGAGGAGGAGAAAGAGGAGGAAGAACUGGGGACCCAUGCUCAGCGGCCUGAGCCCAUGGACGGCAGUGGGUGAGUGCUGCCGGUGGCUGGAAGGGGGGGUUUGGGAGGUCUCCAGGAACCCAGAAUGCCCG